CAGAUCAGCAUGUAAAGUUCUCAGCUACUUCUCCAGCACCAUGUCUGCCUGCACACUACCAUGAUCCCAGCUGCCAUGCUCGCUGCCGUAGGGAAAGCAGACUAAACCUCUACAACUGGAUCUCGCCACUAGCCCUCUGGACUCACAGAAGAGUAGCUUUCUUGGGCCUGUGCCCAUCUCCUGAUGCAAAUAAUGAACUCAGCUUCCUCAUCAAAACCUGCCUGUGUUGAUCAGAGGCCCUGCUUCUCCUGCCUUCUCAGACCUAGAAAGUAUCCAGAGUCUUUGUCCACUGGUUUCUGAGAUCCACUAGCCUCCUUUAAAAGGCUGAGCAGGCUUAAUAAAAUAUCGCACAAACCACCACUGCCCCUACGCCAUCUGUGCCCAUGGCCGACUUAUAAUCAACAGUCUACUGUGUCUCCCUUUCUUUGGGGUGCCUCAGCAGGAUGAGCCUAGCACUUCCUAAUGUCUUUAUGUCUUUAUACCUAGGAAACUGUAAUAAAAGCCUCGGUUCUUCUUUUGA